rnacentral:lncRNA from 1 species
AAAAACAAAAGAAGCCAACAAUAUGGUUCACAAUGUAUCCAACUUUAUACCCCACCAUACCUUGUAGGAGCGGAGGAGGAGCCUUCGUCGUUGCCACAAACUCUAUGAGAACAUUAUUUUAGGGAUUAGGUGCCGCUGAAGAUAUGAAUGUUAUUAAGGUAACUGCUGCUGGCUCCAAAGUCAUGAUCAAAAUAAAAAUGGGGAGGCAUCCUGAAAUCAAAGCCAAACAUAAAAUAAAUAUAAUGUGUGAUGGCUAUGCUAACCAACACUGAUGUCAAGCUACUAUAUACAGUAACAUAGCAUGUGCCAUGACUUUCCUCAAAGUCAUUGUAGAGUUAUGUUAAUUUCUCCUCUAAUGUAUCCAACACUCCAACAGCUUAAUGGGGAGACCCUAGUGUACAAAUGUUCACAGAGAGUUGGUUCUUAACUCUAACUAAGUUAGAUUUAAUAUUAUUUGCAAGAACAACCUUUGGUUCAACAUCAGAGCCAAGCAUCCAGGAGCGCUGCAAGCCGUCAAAUACACUCAGACAGAGAGGAGUGUCCCUACAGAGUGAAGAAAACCCAGUUAUUGAUACUUGACCAAACGGAGAAAGCACACAUAUGUUUAAGGAGGGAAAUAAAUUUGCAAAAGGCUAGUCGUGGUUGUCGUGACAUACCUAUCAUGCCUUAUAGUUGCCAUAUGGCAUUGAGUACUAUGGGUCUCUUUGUUGUAAACUGUUCUAAUAUAACCAACUUCCCCAACGUAUCUGUCACAACCAAGACAACAUUAUGGAACCUACCAAUGAAUUGUAUAAUAAAAUUAUGGAUCCCUUAUAAAGGAUGUUUAACGAUUUAAACCUGGCCACUCAGUAUUCGUGUUGGCAAGUGCGAAAAGCCGGUCGUAAUUGCAGAACCGAGAACUCUUCCUCGGGAUAGGUCAUUGCCUCAUUGGUUUAAGUGAGCUCAACAAAGACGGUAUGUUCGGUGAACCUAAUAGUUUAAAAUUAUAUUAAAGACUCUUAUAAUUAAGUCCAAAUUCAGUUAAUGAAAACUUCCCAAAUUAACUCAUAAUUUUCUUUGAAAUACAAAUUUGAAUAAUUAAUUCAAUCAAAUGCGAAAGUUAUCUAUAAGAUAGUGAAACAUUAAUCUUAUAAUUAAACACAUUAACCUACUUUGAGGAUUAAAACAUUGAGAGGUCUUAAUGUAAUAAUGAAAUCUGCCUACUGGACUUUAUUUGAAGCCUACUUCAUAACUUAAUCUUAUAAUUAAACACUAGGGGAAUUCCGGCGCGUAGUUUGGUUUCUCUUUUGAAUUCUAUUAGUUUCAUUUUCAUCUGUUAGUCCAAGUGAGUCUGAAUUGUUAGUUCUUGCCAAUGAAGAUUUGAGGGUCAUGCCUAUUUUAUAAAAAAAGAAAAGAUUUGAGGGUGUUGAACUAAUAAUUGAUUUGAUGAGAAUCUCUAGAUGUUAUGUCAAUGCGUUUCUGACUCUUGCUGAGUGGAUAUGAUAAAAAAAAUACUUAUGGGUUAGAUACAGUUUUUUGGUUUACGUAUGUAUUAAGGAUUUUAUUUAUUUCUUUAAUUUUAGGAGUCAGUACAGGAGAGAGUAAUAAUAUAUUUUAAAAGUAAAGGAAAAAACAAAUUAAAGAUUUUUUUAUUUAUGAUUGAAGAAAUGUAAAAUGAGGUUUGUCUUUAAAAAUCAAAGGAAACAAUGACAUAUUUUAUUUUAUCUAUGAGCAAUGUAAUCGACAAAUUUCUCAACUCUUAAGAAGUAGUAACAAUUCUUGUUUAGGUGAUUUAUGUUUUGGAGAUCGCAACUUUUGGAAGGUUUGAGUCUAGCCAUGUUUUUUAGAUAUAUGUCCUCCAGUUGAAUAGGAUACACACUGAGGUUUUCUUAAUAUUCCUCCAGCAACACUCGGAUGUAGGUAGUGGGUGUUCCCAGUCUAGGGUAUUUGGGAACUUUUUUUCCUUCUUUGAUCUUUAAUACGUACCCUUGUUGUAUUUUCCACCUAUCUGCUUGAGAAUAGAAUGGUGAGAUGAGUUUUUGAGAAUAUCUGCUUGUCUUGGUAUUGCUUUUGUAAGACGGUUUUUCUAAUUACUGGAGAGUAAUUAGUGGAUGAAUAAAGUUUGCCUAUUAGCCAUUUUAAUUUGAAUAUAUAAGACACUAACAAUUCUGCACCGUUUUAUAACGUACACCCCCACGAUUCUCCACUUCAUUAAAAAUAUUUUCUGAUAUUUAGACGCCGAUAUGAAUCUUGUGAUUUCUUGCACUUCGUUUCUUUUUUAACCCGGGUCUUUGUUCGACAAAUAUUUGGAACACUGACCUUUAAGAUGGAAUUAACAGCGUUAAAUGCUUAAAGAGUUUUAGAAAUGUAUUUCAUAUUAAUCUGGUUUAUGAAUCUGGGUUUGUUUCCACAAAUCUCAAAAACAGAAAAAAAAGAAAGAAAAAAAAACAAAAGAAGCCAACAAUAUGGUUCACAAUGUAUCCAACUUUAUACCCCACCAUACCUUGUAGGAGCGGAGGAGGAGCCUUCGUCGUUGCCACAAACUCUAUGAGAACAUUAUUUUAGGGAUUAGGUGCCGCUGAAGAUAUGAAUGUUAUUAAGGUAACUGCUGCUGGCUCCAAAGUCAUGAUCAAAAUAAAAAUGGGGAGGCAUCCUGAAAUCAAAGCCAAACAUAAAAUAAAUAUAAUGUGUGAUGGCUAUGCUAACCAACACUGAUGUCAAGCUACUAUAUACAGUAACAUAGCAUGUGCCAUGACUUUCCUCAAAGUCAUUGUAGAGUUAUGUUAAUUUCUCCUCUAAUGUAUCCAACACUCCAACAGCUUAAUGGGGAGACCCUAGUGUACAAAUGUUCACAGAGAGUUGGUUCUUAACUCUAACUAAGUUAGAUUUAAUAUUAUUUGCAAGAACAACCUUUGGUUCAA